rnacentral:lncRNA from 1 species
AGAAAGGCGUUUAGGAGUGCUGCUUAGAGACCCCACCCGCAAUCAAAUGCCGCAUCAUUUGGCAAAACUCAAAUAGUUUUGUUAAUAUCCUAGUCAGAUCUCACUUUCUUGCUUUGGCAGAUGGGGUUUGAGUUUUUGGAAAAUAAUCUUUAUGCCACUACUCAAAUUUUUUGUAGUACAUAGUGAUGUGAGUUGGUGAAGUUCAUCCCGAAAUUCUUUGUUUUUAGUGGAUAAGGGGAUUGUGCGAAUUAGGUCAUGACUUUUUUGAGGUUUUUGGCAGUCUGCCCAAAUUGAUGGAGAAUUCUUAAUUGAAAAGUUGAUGCGCCAGCCCAUGUAUAUUGUUAGGAUUUACUGAAGAAGUUGGAGUGCUUGUUGUUUGUGAAGGUUUUAUGUGAGGAUUUUGACUAAUUUGGGAAGAUAAUGAAAGUCACUACUUAAUAUACUUAUUUAUAGUAUGGCUAUUUGUGAGGAGAAAAUUUACAUGUUUGGAAAUUGUCGGUCUUACUUUUUCAUUAC